rnacentral:rRNA from 1 species
AGUGAACGCUGGCGGUAGGCCUAACACAUGCAAGUCGAACGGCAGCACAGUAAGAGCUUGCUCUUACGGGUGGCGAGUGGCGGACGGGUGAGGAAUACAUCGGAAUCUACUUUUUCGUGGGGGAUAACGUAGGGAAACUUACGCUAAUACCGCAUACGACCUACGGGUGAAAGCAGGGGAUCUUCGGACCUUGCGCGAUUGAAUGAGCCGAUGUCGGCUUAGCUAGUUGGCGGGGUAAAGGCCCACCAAGGCGACGAUCCGUAGCUGGUCUGAGAGGAUGAUCAGCCACACUGGAACUGAGACACGGUCCAGACUCCUACGGGAGGCAGCAGUGGGGAAUAUUGGACAAUGGGCGCAAGCCUGAUCCAGCCAUACCGCGUGGGUGAAGAAGGCCUUCGGGUUGUAAAGCCCUUUUGUUGGGAAAGAAAAGCAGCAGGUUAAUACCCCGCUGUUCUGACGGUACCCAAAGAAUAAGCACCGGCUAACUUCGUG